rnacentral:rRNA from 1 species
UACGUAGGGUGCAGGCGUUAAUCGGAAUUACUGGGCGUAAAGCGUGCGCAGGCGGUUUGCUAAGACAGGUGUGAAAUCCCCGGGCUUAACCUGGGAACUGCGCUUGUAACUGGCAAGCUAGAGUGUGGCAGAGGGGGGUGGAAUUCCACGUGUAGCAGUGAAAUGCGUAGAGAUGUGGAGGAACACCGAUAGCGAAGGCAGCCCCCUGGGCUAACACUGACGCUCAUGCACGAAAGCGUGGGUAGCAAACAGG